AGAGUUUGAUCUUGGCUCAGCACGAACGCUGGCGGCAUGGCUAAAACAUGCAAGUCGAACGCGAAACCACCUUCGGGUGGGAGUAGAGUGGCGGACGGACGAGUAAUGCAUUCCUAACGUGCCCCGAGGCCAGGGAUAGCUCACCGAAAGGUGUGGUAAUACCUGAUGACCUCAUCGGAUCGUAUGUUCUGAUGAGCAAAGGCUUGCCACCUCGGGAUCGGGGAAUGUGGUAUCAGCUUGUUGGUGGGGUAACGGCCUACCAAGGCGAAGACGCCUAGCGGGUGUGAGAGCAUGACCCGCCGUAUCGGGACUGAGACACUGCCCGGACUCCUACGGGAGGCUGCAGUAACGGAUCUUCCGCAAUGCGCGAAAGCGUGACGGAGCAAUGCCGCGUGUAGGAUGAGCCCCUCGGGGUUGUAAACUACUGUCAGGUCUUAGGAAUUCUGACCAGGACCAAAGGAAGGGCCGGCUAACUUCGUGCCAGCAGCCGCGGUAAUACGAAGGGCCCGAGCGUUGUGCGGAUUCACUGGGCUUAAAGGGUGCGUAGGCGGAGGUGUCAGUGCGUUGUGAAAGCCCACGGCUCAACCGUGGAACUGCAGCGCAUACUGCAUCUCUUGAGGUCGGUAGGGGCUGUCGGAACUGUAGGUGUAGCGGUGAAAUGCGUAGAUAUCUACAGGAACACCAAUGGCGAAGGCAGACAGCUGGGCCGAUUCUGACGCUGAGGCACGAAAGCGUGGGGAGCAAACAGGAUUAGAUACCCUGGUAGUCCACGCCGUAAACGAUGUGCACUAGGUUCCGGUACCUCUGACGGUUUCGGUGCCGAAAAGAAAUCGAUAAGUGCACCGCCUGGGGAGUACGGUCGCAAGGCUAAAACUCAAAGGAAUUGACGGGGGCUCACACAAGCGGUGGAGCAUGUGGCUUAAUUCGAAGCAACGCGAAGAACCUUAUCCUGGUUUGACAUGGUAGGAUUAACUCCCUGAAAGGGGAGCCACGCCCUCUGGGUGGAACUACCACAGGUGCUGCAUGGCUGUCGUCAGCUCGUGCUGUGAAGUGUCGGGUUAAGUCCCUUAACGAGCGAAACCCUUACCGUUAGUUGCCAUCAGGUUAUGCUGGGGACUCUAGCGGGACUGCCGGUGAUAAACCGGAGGAAGGUGGGGAUGACGUCAAGUCCUCAUGGCCUUUAUGCCCAGGGCUGCACACGUGCUACAAUGCCGCGUACAGAGCGAAGCGAUACCGUAAGGGUGAGCAAAUCGCAAAAAGCGCGGCCCAGUUCGGAUUGUGGUCUGCAACUCGACCACAUGAAGUUGGAAUCGCUAGUAAUCGCGUAUCAGCUACGACGCGGUGAAUACGUUCCUGGGCCUUGUACACACCGCCCGUCAAGUCAUGAAGCCGGGGAAUGCCCGAAGUAG
rnacentral:rRNA from 1 species